AUUAGGAAGUCCUGAAAAUGUCACUGGAUGUGUACUUCUUCUUUUGUACUGGUUAUGCGAGCAUACUACCCUCAUUCAACCUCAAGGAAAAAAUUUGUGUCCAAGGCUCCUUCGAUGGGACUUAUCAACAUUGAGGAAAAAGCUAAUGAAGAGGUCAUUGCAAACACUAAAGCCCGAAGAGGUAAAUCACAAUGAACUGAAGCCCAUUUCCAGAGAAGAAAUGGCCCUCAUUUGCAAUGAUGAUGAAGAAGAUGCAUUGGAAAUAGAGAAAAAUUUGGAGACUGAAGAAGAUGCAUUGGACAUGGAGGAAAA